rnacentral:rRNA from 2 species
GCCGGGUGUGUAAGCGCAGCGAUGCGUUGAGCUAACCGGUACUAAUGAACCGUGAGGCUUAACCUUACAACGCCGAAGC